rnacentral:lncRNA from 1 species
UUUAGCAAAUGUACAGUUUUAAAAGGGAUAAUUGCCUAUAUACCCCUCAUACGUUUGAAACUAUUCGAUUUGCCCCUAUUUUUUUUUUCUUUCUAAAAUACCCCUCAUAUUUUCUACCGUUAUUGCAAAAUACCCCCGCAGUUAUCUCAUAUUAAGUUAACUUGGGUUAAAUGUGAAUUAAAUAUCUACAACAGUAAACAAAAAAAUACCAAUUUUGCCCUUAAUUUAAGGGCAAAUAAGAAAUAUUGGUGACGAUAGAGAGGUAUAUUGAAAAAGAUCAAAAGUCAAAAUACUUUUUGUGCCCCUAACUUUAAGGGCAAAUAAGAAAGUCAGUGAUGGUGGAAGGGUAUAUUUGAAAGGAUAAAAUAGUAAUUUUAUAGAGAUAACAGAGUUAAUUAACAGAUUUUAACUUUAGGGGUAUAUUAGAAAUAGGUUGGAACGUAGAAAGGGUAUUUUUAAUAUUAGCCUUCUAAGAGGGGUAAAUCGGAAAAUCGGAAACUUUUCAGGGAUAUAUAUGCAAUUG